UACGUAGGGUGCAAGCGUUGUCCGGAAUUAUUGGGCGUAAAGAGCUCGUAGGCGGUCUGUCGCGUCGGAUGUGAAAACCCAGGGCUCAACCCUGGGCCUGCAUUCGAUACGGGCAGACUAGAGUUCGGUAGGGGAGACUGGAAUUCCUGGUGUAGCGGUGAAAUGCGUAGAUAUCUGGAGGAACACCGGUGGCGAAGGCGGCAUCCUGGACCGGUAUUGACACUGAGGCGCGAAAGCGUGGGGAGCAAACAGG
rnacentral:rRNA from 1 species